CCUGGGAGCAUUAUUUAGAUUCUCAAAUUAGCAUGGAAGUCUUCGGCCAGUGUCAUUUAAGCAAUUUUCACAGGAAUGCCUGGAAGCUGAAUCAGUCCUUCUUGCUGCCCAAGAGAGAAGAAACAGUUCAGACAAAAAUCUUUCUAAGAAGUUAAAUUUCAGUGCACCUCAAAGCAAUCUGAAUAAUACUGGAUGGGAAUCACAUGUGCUUUAUUUCCUUUGUUCAGUGAAUCCAACUGCAUGCUACAGUCAAUACUUCUGCUACAGCUCUUACUAAGAUACUGGCUGAAGCCAAAUUCUGAUCUCACUCCAGCUUCACACCUGAAUGACUGCAUCUCCUGCAGCCUUAUUGAAAGAUACUGUGUUUGGACACACGUUAAUAUUGGUGAGCAAUUGCACAGUCCUAACUGGUCCUACUGGAAUGUGGUCACUGGGUUUUUGUCUGUCCCUGUUAUAAAGGCUGCUGCUGAAUUAAAGAAGAGGUGCUUUCAAGACAGGUAGGUAAAUAAUACUGUAUGGCGACCAUAUGUUCCUCAUUUCUGUUCCAUGCUGUGUUGUUUUCACUUCGUGCCACUGAGCUUUUGUGGCAUGUAAUUGGCCUCUGCACAAAGACGGCAGUGAGACAACUGCAGACUGUGUGGAGGGAUGGGAAGGUGUGGCGUGAAAGGCUGAGCUUCCUGGGAGAGAUGUCAAGGAUCCUUUGGCAGGGAAAGAGGCUGGUGCUUCACAUCACACUUAGUAUGUGGUGGGGUACAGGCACUCGUAGACAUGAUGUGAGUGUGGGUUUGUUUUCCUGGUGUGCUGUUCCUGUGGCAUGAGACUGGGACUGGGGCUGGUGCUGGGCUGUAGGCAGAGUGCUCUGGGGCUGGAACAGGGCAAGGGUGCAGGGACAGCCAUGAAGAGGGGUAGGGGCAGCAGGAAGACCUGCUCUCCACAUUUCUGUCUUAAACAUGCCUUUCUCCUCCUACUACCUCUCCUUUGGCAGAAGGAGCUUGUCCCUGGACCCUCAUCCACAGGAGAGUGACAUCCAAUUUCUCCCACGCUGCUGAAAAACUUGGAGCCAGACAUGAUUAUGUUGAUCUACUUAGCUUUACUGGAUGAAAACUGUAAUAAUAAUAACACUGGUGCAGUGCUGAGCAAGGUUUUCUGCUGCUGCAAUCAUCAAUGUUCUGCCAGAUUUGAAGGAAAUAAUCUGUUGAUGCCAGUUCAGAAUCUGGCCUUCUUCUAAAGAAAUCAACAAUGAAAUCAUCAAUGCCUCUCUUGACCAACACUGAAUUAACAUACUUCCGUUUUUUCAAGAAUAGCUCACACUUAGCCCAAAUUUGAAUUGACUUCUAACUGCAAAUAUAUUUGUCAUUUUUUCUUGCAAUCAAUUGUUUAAAGAAAAAUAAUUGUCUUUCCAUUGUUUUUUUUCCAUUGCUUGGUUUAUUUUAUUCAAAUUUC
rnacentral:lncRNA from 1 species